UUCACGACAAGAUGGCCAUUGGCUUCGUCGUCCCUGAGGUCAGAUCUCCAUCUCAUCUUCUGUAUUUUUUUUAUUCCUGUUCAUCCGUGAUUCAUCUUACUGAAUAUUCUCCUUUUCCUUUUUCUUUGUAUUUUUAUUCCCCCAAAAUCACUAGGAGUUGUCCAAUAAAAUUGUCAUCCCCACCGAUCAACCACACCUUCAAUGUCUCG
rnacentral:lncRNA from 1 species